GCAGCCUGCCGGUCUGUCGCUCAUCUUCGGGUGAGAGGAACGUCCGGGCAACGCAGAGCACCAUACUUCUUAACGGGAAGCUGUCCGUGAGGGUAGAGUAACGUAACAGAGAAUAACCGCCGGACAUGUCCGGUAAGGGUGAAAAGGUGAGGUAAGAGCUCACCGGAUGCCGUAGUAAUACGGGAUGCCGUACGUCUUAUGGGUUGUAAGGUCAUGUAUACCGGCGCAUGUAGGAUUGCUCGUCCGAUGCCGGGGGGUAGACCGCUAAAGCUUAUCGGUGACGGUAAGACAAGAUAAAUGGCAGACGCUUUCGUGCAAACGGGAGUACAGAACCCGGCUUAUAGGCAGGCUGCAUUU
rnacentral:RNase_P_RNA from 1 species